rnacentral:rRNA from 1 species
AACCUCCGCAAUGUACGAAAGUGCGACGGGGGGAUCCCAAGUGUUAUGCUUUUUUGUAUAACUUUUCAUUAGUGUAAAAAGCUUUUAGAAUAAGAGCUGGGCAAGACCGGUGCCAGCCGCCGCGGUAACACCGGCAGCUCGAGUGGUAGCUGUUUUUAUUGGGCCUAAAGCGUUCGUAGCCGGUUUGAUAAGUCUUUGGUGAAAGCUUGUAGCUUAACUAUAAGAAUUGCUGGAGAUACUAUCGGACUUGAAGUCGGGAGAGGUUAGAGGUACUACCGGGGUAGGGGUGAAAUCCUAUAAUCCUGGGAGGACCACCUGUGGCGAAGGCGUCUAACUGGAACGAUCUUGACGGUGAGUAACGAAAGCCAGGGGCGCGAACCGGAUUAGAUACCCGGGUAGUCCUGGCCGUAAACGAUGUGGACUUGGUGUUGGAAUGGCUUUGAGUUGUUCCGGUGCCGAAGGGAAGCUGUUAAGUCCACCGCCUGGGAAGUACGGUCGCAAGACUGAAACUUAAAGAAUU